GACAGAGGGUGCAAACGUUGUUCGGAAUUACUGGGCGUAAAGCGCGUGUAGGCUGCUUCGCAAGUCGGGUGUGAAAGCCCUGGGCUCAACCUAGGAAGUGCACUCGAAACUGCGAAGCUUGAGUCCUGGAGAGGAAGGCGGAAUUCUCGGUGUAGAGGUGAAAUUCGUAGAUAUCGAGAGGAACACCGGUGGCGAAGGCGGCCUUCUGGACAGUGACUGACGCUGAGACGCGAAAGCGUGGGGAGCAAACAGG
rnacentral:rRNA from 1 species